UACGUAGGAGGCGAGCGUUGUCCGGAGUUACUGGGCGUAAAGGGCGCGUAGGCGGCUUGGGAAGUCCGUGGUGAAAGCUCGUGGCUCAACUGCGAGUCGGCCAUGGAUACUCCUAAGCUCGAGUCGACUAGAGGCAGAUGGAAUUCCGGGUGUAGCGGUGGAAUGCGUAGAGAUCCGGAAGAACACCGGUGGCGAAGGCGGUCUGCUGGGGUCGAACUGACGCUGAGGCGCGACAGCGUGGGGAGCAAACAGG
rnacentral:rRNA from 1 species